ACGGGUUGUAGCUAACCCGAUGGCACAGACACACAUUGCACACCCUUUAGUUUGUGCAUUUUUAUCUCUAAUUUUUCAAAAUGUAGAAUUUCAAUAGCUCCUUGGUCAUGUGACCUAGUGACUUCAAACAAGGUUCAGAAUUUCCACUCCGUAGACCUACACAUUGCACACCCUUUAGUUUGUCAAUUUUCAUCUCACGUGGUUUUACAUUAAUUUUUCAACAUUUAGAAUUUCAAUAGCUCCUUGGUCAUGUGACCUAAUGUCCGCUGACUACCCUUCUAUAUUGCACACUCUUGUUUGUGUACUGUAAAAUCAUGCGGUGUAACGUACAUUUUUCAUAAUUUCAAAGGCGAGGCACCAGGCGAGGCAGUCAUUUGAGAAACCAAGGCUGUUGAGUCUGCUGAUAAGAAUGCAGUGAUUGACAGAGUCAAAAGCCUUGGCCAGGUCGAUUGAUACGGCUGCACAGUAUUGUCUUUUGCCGAUGGAGAUUAUGAUAUCGUUUAGAACCUUGAGCGGGGCUGAGGUGCACCCAUGACCAGCUCGGAAACCAGAUUGAAUAGUGGAGAAGAUCCUGAGGACAAACAUCCUUCUGCAUCAAGGUCCUUUCUCAUGUUCAGACAGACUAUAUCCCACUACCUAAACUUGCGGUCAGCCUACAGCUAAUUCAUCCCUGCAACAGACUGAGCUGACCACCAUGCACUCUGAGGAUGGAUCUACGGUCGACGACAUCUUCUACUCCAAGGCUGGGCAAUUCUGGUGGAGGUCAACGGCAGAGCGGAGGUUUGAAGCUGCUUGGUCGUCUCUCCCCCCAAUUAGAGGAGGAUCUCUGGUCAAUGAAAGGUUUACCCAAUUAAUUGUUCCCUUCGGACCAUCUCAGUCUCCUGGCCAGGUUCCAGCUGGACUGAAACCCUGUGUAAUUUGGGCUGUUUGUGAUCAAUUAAUAAUCAGGAGGACCGAGGUCAAGUAUUUAAAAAUGUUUGUUCAAACUGUACAUGAUUUUCCCAUGGUGUGAUUCCAUGUUUUAUAAGUUCAUAAUUGUACUUAAUUGGUUCCUUGGGCUCACAUGGUUGUUUCCUACCUGAAGAGAAACUACUCAUCCCAAGGUCCAGAGGGGAUGGGAUGUCCUCUGAAGAAUUGUUUUUGUUUACAUGAAGAGAGAGCAAAACAAACCAAAAAGGUUGAAUUUAGUUCAAAGUUGGAAUUUAUUUGACAAAUUCUCUUACUGUUGAGAUUUGAAUGCAUGAAGCUUUUAGAUUUUAAAAGUUAAUAUUUUGUGAACAAACUGAGUAAACAAUCUGCUACACUAGUAAAUUAGAACAUUUAAAUCUUUACAAACUGUGUUUGAUGCGUUUUGUCCCUCUGGCUUUGGGCCAGUCGUAGUAUUAUUUUUCAAAUGAUAGAAAUAUUGAAUUCAUAUUUUCCAUAUACCAAUAUCAGUUUGGCAGUAUUUUGGGAAGAUCUACAUCCUGUCUUGCCUGGCUGAGAUGGUGUUAAUCCGUGACAAGGACU
ensembl:lncRNA